UGAACUGGAGUCCACCUGGUACCACCGUGACCUCUAUCAGAAGUGUCUGAUGCCAAGAUUUAAAGUCUACUCAUCUUUCAAGAUGCAGACCCCACUAUGUUUCCAGAGAAUUUGGAAUGAAAUAUAUUCAAGGUUAUGAGAUAAUCUCUGAAGUGCUGUAAUUUAUGGCAUCGUGGCAGAGCAGCUAAAAUGAACAUUGUACCUGUCAGCAAGUUAAAAUGGAAAAACUUGAGACGUUCUGGGAAGACAGAAUCGGUUCCGAAAGC
rnacentral:lncRNA from 1 species